AAAUGAGGAAAGGAAGAGACUGUGACAUAAGAAACUUACUUCCUGGAGGGAAGAGGAACUUCAGUGACCUGGUAUUGCAUGGAAGAGAUGGACUUCCUGUUCUGAUUGGAGGCUGCAUUCUUUUGAGAUGCCGUAUAGGAGAGAACACAAUCUUGGCCCUGAGAGAUGGUAUGAGGUCUCAAAAACUGACACCAAAAACUACAUCUGGUGCCUAACGUGAGCCUGCUGGAGGGCAAUCCACAGUGUUUCUGACAGGUGUAGACAUCUUUGGACUGAGGCUCACUCUGGUUUUAUCUGAAGAUUCUGGACAUAGCUUCUGGGCUGGUGCUUCCUAACCCAGGUAAUGGUAAUGGGACCAACUGUCAUGUUUCUCAGCAAAGUCACAGUAUUUUGGGUAGGACACGCCACUAGCCCAGUUCAACCUGCGUCUAAAUACAUGGUGUCCAAAAUGGACCAUAAUUUGUGGUCCACUCAUUCAACCCACAGCCCUUUGCCAGGACUGGAAACUAUGUAAAGAGGCAUGAAUGAAUGGAGUCCACACUUGCUGAAUUGCAACGAAGGGCACUAGGAGUUUUUGCCUAGAGGACACAUGGUGGAUGAGGGAGGAGGCAGUGAAAGUAAAACACUGAUUUUAUAUUUACAAUGUGCAAGGUACUAUAAUAGGCUCUG